rnacentral:SRP_RNA from 2 species
GAGCGGGCUCUGCGCGAUAGAGCAUCGUGAACCAUGUCAGGCGGGGAACCGAGCAGCAUUAAGCGAAGGUCUCUGUGCGAUGCAGGUGGUCUGUUCGUU